UACAGAGGGUGCGAGCGUUGUUCGGAAUUAUUGGGCGUAAAGGGCGCGUAGGCGGUGCGGUAAGUCACCUGUGAAAUCUCCUGGCUCAACUGGGAGCUUGCAGGCGAAACUGCCGUGCUGGAGUGUGGGAGAGGUGCGUGGAAUUCCCGGUGUAGCGGUGAAACGCGUAGAUAUCGGGAGGAACACCUGUGGCGAAAGCGGCGCACUGGACCACAACUGACGCUGAGGCGCGAAAGCUAGGGGAGCAAACAGG
rnacentral:rRNA from 1 species